UACGGAGGGUGCAAACGUUGCUCGGAAUCAUUGGGCGUAAAGCGCACGUAGGCGGCGAAGCAAGUCGGGUGUGAAAGCCCUGGGCUCAACCCAGGAAGUGCAUUCGAAACUAUUUCGCUUGAAUCUCGGAGGGGGUCAGAGAAUUCCCGGUGUAGCGGUGAAAUGCGCAGAUAUCGGGAGGAACACCAAUUGCGAAGGCAGCUUGCUGGGACGGUACUGACGCUGAGGAGCGAAAGCGUGGGGAGCGAACAGG
rnacentral:rRNA from 1 species